rnacentral:rRNA from 1 species
UACGUAGGGGGCAAGCGUUUGUCCGGAUUUACUGGGUGUAAAGGGUGCUCAGGUGGCUUUGUAAGUCAGCGGUGAAAUCUUAGAGCUCAACUCUGAAACUGCCGUUGAUACUACUUGGCUUGAGUAUGGAAGAGGUUGAUGGAAUUUCAGGUGUAGCAGUGAAAUGCGUAGAUAUCGAGAGGAACACCUGCGGCGAAGGCGGGUUGCUGGGCUGAACACUGACGCUGAGGCGCGAAAGCUAGGGGAGCGAACGGGG